GUGAGGAAAUCUUCAAGGAGUAUGAAAAGACCAAAACACUAACAUGUCUGCAACCAGGACGUUCACCAUCUGUUUACGUGUGGCAUAUGUUAGAGCUACAUGGGAUGAUUCCAUGGUCAAGUGUGAAGACCAAUUAUGCACUGGGAAUUGUGACACUUUUUCCAUACCUCCAAGAUCCUUUCUCCAAACAUGGAUAUGAACACUACUAUGAUCCUUUAGGGUAAUACUGGCUUCAUUGCAUGCAGGAUCAAGACAGUUCA